rnacentral:snRNA from 1 species
AUUUAAGAAAACUUUCUACUGAGU